UGCAAUACAAAAUUUGUUGGUUCCCGUUUCGAUACAUUCGAAACAUGGGAUUAAAAGGGAAUCCUGUUUAAUUCAGGAGCUAUUCCCGUAGCUGUAAGUCCACAAAGACGUUUUAGCAACACUCUAGCCACUGUCCCCCACGGGGAUGGGAAGGCCGCUAAGACAGGACAAGCCAGAAGACCUGCCUCCAAAUAUAAUUCGUA
rnacentral:ncRNA from 2 species